rnacentral:misc_RNA from 1 species
AACGCAUAUUGCACUCUCUGGUAUUCCGGGGAGUAUGCCUGUUUCAGCAUCAUCAAGACCCUCGAAUCCAAAUUUCUUGGAAUCGGAUUUGGGCUCAUGUGGAGAAGUAAUUCCCGCUAGCCUGAAAUCGAAUCUCGCUUCGUGUUACCUUUGCAAGGACCCCUCCCCCAAGGCGUCAUAGUUGGCUUUGCCAUCUUUCGCUGAUUUUGGGAGUGGUGCGCGUCGCGUGGACUUUAUUCUUAAGUGUUUGAGAUUUCUUCUCGCACAAGAAUUUUUUUUUGAAAUUUGAUCUGAAAUCAGGUAGGAUUACCCGCUGAACUUAA